UACGUAGGGUGCAAGCGUUGUCCGGAUUCAUUGGGCGUAAAGAGCGUGUAGGCGGCCAGGUAGGUCGGUUGUGAAAACUGGAGGCUCAACCUUCAGAGGUCGACCGAAACCAUCUGGCUAGAGUCUGGGAGAGGAGAGUGGAAUUCCGGGUGUAGCGGUGGAAUGCGUAGAGAUCCGGAAGAACACCGAUGGCGAAGGCGGCUCGCUGGGCAGUGGCUGACGCUGAGGCGCGACAGCGUGGGGAGCAAACAGG
rnacentral:rRNA from 1 species